AGUGAACGCUGGCGGCGUGCUUAACACAUGCAAGUCGAACGAGAACGGAUUAUAGCUUGCUAUAAUUGUCAGCUAAGUGGCGCACGGGUGAGUAAUGUAUAGGUAAUAUGCCUCUUACUAAGGGAUAACAAAUGGAAACGUUUGCUAAUACCUUAUACUCCUUAUUAACAGAAGUUAAUAAGGGAAAGAUUUAUUGGUAAGAGAUUAGCCUGUAUUGUAUCAGUUAGUUGGUGGGGUAAUGGCUUACCAAGACUAUGACACAUAACUGGUUUGAGAGGAUGAUCAGUCACACUGGAACUGAGACACGGUCCAGACUCCUACGGGAGGCAGCAGUGGGGAAUAUUGCACAAUGGACGAAAGUCUGAUGCAGCAACGCCGCGUGGAGGAUGACACAUUUCGGUGCGUAAACUCCUUUUAUAUGAGAAGAUAAUGACGGUAUUAUAUGAAUAAGCACCGGCUAACUCCGUGCCAGCCGCCGCAGUAAAAC
rnacentral:rRNA from 1 species